rnacentral:rRNA from 1 species
UAAUACAUGCAAGUCGAGCGAACUUUUGGGAGCUUGCUCCCAAAAGUUAGCGGCGGACGGGUGAGAAACACGUGGGCAACCUGCCUAUAAGACUGGGAUAACUUCGGGAAACCGGAGCUAAUACCGGAUAACAUAUGAGACCACAUGGUCUCAUAUUAAAAGAUGGCUUUUAGCUAUCACUUAUAGAUGGGCCCGCGGCGCAUUAGCUAGUUGGUGAGGUAAUGGCUCACCAAGGCGACGAUGCGUAGCCGACCUGAGAGGGUGAUCGGCCACACUGGGACUGAGACACGGCCCAGACUCCUACGGGAGGCAGCAGUAGGGAAUCUUCCGCAAUGGACGAAAGUCUGACGGAGCACGCCGCGUGAGCGAAGAAGGUCUUCGGAUCGUAAAGCUCUGUUGUUAGGGAAGAACAAGUACCGUUCAAAUAGGGCGGUACCUUGACGGUACCUAACCAGAAAGCCACGGCUAACUACGUGCCAGCAGCCGCGGUAAUACGUAGGUGGCAAGCGUUAUCCGGAAUUAUUGGGCGUAAAGCGCGCGCAGGCGGUCCUUUAAGUCUGAUGUGAAAGCCCACGGCUCAACCGUGGAGGGUCAUUGGAAACUGGGGGACUUGAGUGCAGAAGAGGAGAGCGGAAUUCCACGUGUAGCGGUGAAAUGCGUAGAGAUGUGGAGGAACACCAGUGGCGAAGGCGGCUCUCUGGUCUGUAACUGACGCUGAGGCGCGAAAGCGUGGGGAGCGAACAGGAUUAGAUACCCUGGUAGUCCACGCCGUAAACGAUGAGUGCUAAGUGUUAGAGGGUUUCCGCCCUUUAGUGCUGCAGCAAACGCAUUAAGCACUCCGCCUGGGGAGUACGGUCGCAAGACUGAAACUCACAGGAAUUGACGGGCGCCCGCACAAGCGGUGGAGCAUGUGGUUUAAUUCGAAGCAACGCGAAGAA